rnacentral:lncRNA from 1 species
CCAGGAUACCAGACACCCUCUCAUGUUCCUAGGAAGGCUUCUUUCUUUUGUUUGGCUGGUUUUGCCUCCCAUAUUCCCAUAAAACAUGGUCCGCCUGUUACCUAACAAGGCCAGCGCCACUCGGCCCUUCCCGCCCUCUAAUGAGAAUGCUGGCCUGGGAGUAAAGUGCAGAUCCACCCCACCACCCAAGCCACGUAGCACGCAUGGCCUGAGCUGCCAGAAGUGGGCACCCUCUCACUGGGAGCUGCUGAAGAGUCGACACGCAGCAGCACUGACAGGUGAAAUGAAGGUUCUAAUCUCUUCCCUCCUCCUGUUGCUGCCACUAAUGCUGAUGUCCGUGGUCUCCAGCAGCUCACACACAGGGGUUGCCAGAGGCCAGAGGGACCAACGCCAGGCUUCUGGGAGGUGGCUCCAAGAAGGAGGCCAAGAAUGUGAGUGCAAAAGUCAGUAACAAAAUAUUGACAAUGAGAGUGCACCAUCAAUAUCCCCACUUGCUCUCCUGAAUCCCUCUGAGAGCAGAGCAGAUAUUACCUGAGCUGUCCUCACCCCCUGCCCUCUCCCCCAGCCCAUCAUUCAUUUCUUCCUGAGUCUCAUGUAAGAGCCAGACUUCUCCAGGGUUCAGGGGAGCUGGCUGAAGGUCUGGCCCUCUCCCUUACCCUUUUCCCCAACAACCCAGGGCUGCCUUCCAAGAGGUUCCUGGACCCCAUCUUCAGCCUAAUUUUACUCACAGGCAAGACUGAAACAGAGAGGGAAAAUGGCUUAGUUUGAAGUAAAGCAGCCACUAAAAGGCAGACACCUAGGUCUUUUUUUAAUGUUUAUUUAUUUGGCUGCCUCAGGUCUUAGUUGCAGCACACAGGAUCUUCAUCGCAUCAUGUGGGAACUUUCAUUUGGCAAAUGGACUCUCUAGUUGUGGCACACGGGCUCCAGGGCAGGUGGGCUUCAGUAGUUGCAGCAUGGGUUUAGUUGCUCUGCAACAUGUGGGGUCUUAGUUCCCCAAGCAGGGGUCAGACUGAGUCCUCUGCCUUGCAAGGAGGAUUCUCAUCCACCGGACCACAAGGGAAGUCCAAAACUAUUCACAUAAGUUUUAUGGAUUUCCAUUGAUAUAUAACACAGUGUAAUAAGAUUGGUUAAAGGCACAGAGCAAAACGGGCUUCCCAGGUGGCUCCAGAAGUAGAGCCCGCCUGCCAAUGAAGGAGACAUGAGAUGUGGGUUCGAUCCCUGGGUUGGGAAGAUCCCCUGGAGGAGGGCAUGGCAACCCACUCCAGUAUUCUUGCCUGGAGAAUCCCAUGGACAGGGAAGCCUGGCAGGAUUGCAAAGAACAAUAUGUAUAGCACAAGCUCAUUUAAGUAAACUAUUAUGUUUACAUACAAAAAGGUAUGGAGAACAAAACUAUUCUAUAUAAAAUAAAUAAGCUUUUACUUUAAUUUAUCCA